rnacentral:rRNA from 1 species
GACGAACGCUGGCGGCGUGCUUAACACAUGCAAGUCGAACGAUGAUGCCCAGCUCGCUGGGUGGAUUAGUGGCGAACGGGUGAGUAACACGUGAGUAACCUGCCCCUGACUCUGGGAUAAGCGUUGGAAACGACGUCUAAUACUGGAUAUGACUACCGGCCGCAUGGUCUGGUGGUGGAAAGAUUUUUUGGUUGGGGAUGGACUCGCGGCCUAUCAGCUUGUUGGUGAGGUAAUGGCUCACCAAGGCGGCGACGGGUGGCCGGCCUGAGAGGGUGACCGGCCACACUGGGACUGAGACACGGCCCAGACUCCUACGGGAGGCAGCAGUGGGGAAUAUUGCACAAUGGGCGAAAGCCUGAUGCAGCAACGCCGCGUGAGGGAUGACGGCCUUCGGGUUGUAAACCUCUUUUAGUAGGGAAGAGGCGAGAGUGACGGUACCUGCAGAAAAAGCACCGGCUAACUACGUGCCAGCCGCCGCCGUAA